GACGAACGCUGGCGGCGUGCUUAACACAUGCAAGUCGAACGGUAAGGCCCUUCGGGGUACACGAGUGGCGAACGGGUGAGUAACACGUGGGUGAUCUGCCCUGCACUUCGGGAUAAGCCUGGGAAACUGGGUCUAAUACCGGAUAGGACCACUGCCUGCAUGGGUGGUGGUGGAAAGCUUUUGCGGUGUGGGAUGGGCCCGCGGCCUAUCAGCUUGUUGGUGGGGUGAUGGCCUACCAAGGCGACGACGGGUAGCCGGCCUGAGAGGGUGACCGGCCAUACUGGGACUGAGAUACGGCCCAGACUCCUACGGGAGGCAGCAGUGGGGAAUAUUGCACAAUGGGCACAAGCCUGAUGCAGCGACGCCGCGUGAGGGAUGACGGCCUUCGGGUUGUAAGCCUCUUUCAGCACCGACGAAGCGCAAGUGACGGUAGGUGCAGAAGAAGGACCGGCUAACUACGUGCCAGCCGCCGCCGUAA
rnacentral:rRNA from 1 species